rnacentral:rRNA from 1 species
AACGAACGCUGGCGGCGUGCCUAACACAUGCAAGUCGAGCGGGAAAGCGGGGGCAACCCCGCGAGUACAGCGGCGAACGGGUGAGUAACACGUAGGUAACCUACCCCUAGGACUGGGAUAACCUGCCGAAAGGCGGGCUAAUACUAGAUAAGACCACGAGGGCUUCGGCCCUUGAGGUAAAAGGUGGCCUCUGCUUGCAAGCUACCACCUAGGGAUGGGCCUGCGGGCCAUUAGCUAGUUGGUAGGGUAAUGGCCUACCAAGGCUACGAUGGCUAGCUGGUCUGAGAGGAUGGCCAGCCACACUGGGACUGAGACACGGCCCAGACUCCUACGGGAGGCAGCAUG